rnacentral:sRNA from 1 species
AUCUUUUAAUUUAAUAAAUGUAGAAUGACACAUGUCAUUUUCUUGUAUGAUGAUGUGUCACUCAUAUGAAGAGAGUUGUCCAACUUUCAUAUAUAUGAUUUGUGUGUAGUUUUUCAU